GCGUUCGGAGUUGAGCUGUAGAGCGACCACGGGCGCACGCCGGGUACCCGCGCCGCGUCCGCUCGGAGCGCGCGGCUGGAGGGGCGCGGGGGGCGCGCGCUCCGGGGAUGCCUUCCCGCGAGGCUCCGACAGUGCGGCCGGGGUAGAUCGCCUGCAGGCAGCCGAGGCACGGCGGGCCGGGGGACUACCAGGGAGCCCCUAACAAAGCAGCUUUGGGAGGGCCGGGCGGCCUCCGCCUCCCCCGGCGAUAGGUCCGCGAAGCUGCCUGUCACCCCGCAUAGGUGGAGGUGGCCAAUGGCGUACACAGAUCGAGCUCGAGUUGGCGCGCGCGCGCGACUCGGCAUCGGUGGGAUUGGUCGGAGGUUGUGGGGGACGAGGAAACGGAGACGCUGGCGGUGGAGCCUCCAGCGAAACCUCUUCCCUGCACCAGGCCACAGCUUCCUCCUCUCCUGUAGAGCUCUAGACUUCACCGGUUACCACAAAGGCUGGGACGUAUGUUCCUUAGACCUUGAUUCCAUACUCUGGUUCGCCUGAGGGGCUGGGAACGUCUGCGCUCCUGGGGUGAUCUUGUUAAAAACAAAAAGAGUUGCCCAUUCUGUGGUAGGUAAACCUAAAGCGGAAAAUUGAAAGUCA